rnacentral:rRNA from 1 species
UGCGCAGGCGGGCUUGUAAGUCAGUGGUGAAAUACUGCCGCUCAACGGUAGAACUGCCAUUGAUACUGCAAGUCUUGAAUAUGGUUGAGGUAGGCGGAAUGUGUCGUGUAGCGGUGAAAUGCGUAGAUAUGACACAGAACGCCAAUUGCGAAGGCAGCUUACUAAGCCAUUAUUGACGCUGAGGCACGAAAGCGUGGGGAGCGAACAGGAUUAGAUACCCUGGUAGUCC